UACGUAGGCAGCAAGCGUUGUUCGGAAUUACUGGGCGUAAAGAGUGUGUAGGCGGUGCUCUAAGUUCGGUGUGAAAUCUCCCGGCUUAACUGGGAGGGUGCGCCGGAAACUGGAGUGCGCGAGCGUGGGAGAGGAAAGCGGAAUUCCUGGUGUAGCGGUGAAAUGCGUAGAUAUCAGGAGGAACACCUGCGGUGUAGACGGCUUUCUGGACCAUUGCUGACGCUGAGACACGAAAGCGUGAGUAGCAAACAGG
rnacentral:rRNA from 1 species